rnacentral:tRNA from 1 species
GGCCCGAUGGUGAAACGGAUAUCAUCCCUCGCUUCUAACGAGGUGUUCCGGGUUCGAGUCCUGGUCGGGCUG